rfam:Bombyx mori DNA, contig: Bm_scaf2_contig1572, strain: p50T/Dazao, build 2, whole genome shotgun sequence.
UUAACUAAAAUUUGUAUGGAGUUUGAAUGGUUGCCUACAUUUGCCGCUAGGGGCGCUGUUCCAACUCCAUACAAAUUUGAGUUA